rnacentral:rRNA from 1 species
UACGUAGGGGGCAAGCGUUGUCCGGAUUUAUUGGGCGUAAAGAGCGUGUAGGCGGCUAGGUAGGUCCGUUGUGAAAACUCGAGGCUCAACCUCGAGACGUCGAUGGAAACCAUCUAGCUAGAGUCCGGAAGAGGAGAGUGGAAUUCCUGGUGUAGCGGUGAAAUGCGCAGAUAUCAGGAGGAACACCGGUGGCGAAGGCGGGUCUCUGGGCCGUAACUGACGCUGAGGAGCGAAAGCGUGGGGAGCGAACAGG